rnacentral:tRNA from 4 species
GCCCAGAUGGUGAAAUUGGUAGACACGCUACUUUGAGGGGGUAGUGCCUGUUUAAGGCGUGCAAGUUCGAGUCUUGUUCUGGGCA